rnacentral:rRNA from 1 species
UACGAAGGGGGCUAGCGUUGCUCGGAAUGACUGGGCGUAAAGGGCGCGUAGGCGGAUGGCACAGUCAGAUGUGAAAUUCCCGGGCUUAACCUGGGGGCUGCAUUUGAUACGUGUUGUCUAGAGUGAGGAAGAGGGUUGUGGAAUUCCCAGUGUAGAGGUGAAAUUCGUAGAUAUUGGGAAGAACACCGGUGGCGAAGGCGGCGAUCUGGGUCGAUACUGACGCUGAGGUGCGAAAGCGUGGGGAGCAAACAGG